GAUGAACGCUAGCGGGAGGCUUAACACAUGCAAGUCGAGGGGCAGCAUAGGGUAGCAAUACUCUGAUGGCGACCGGCAGACGGGUGAGUAACGCGUAUGUAACCUACCCUGUACAGGGGGAUAACCCGGAGAAAUUCGGACUAAUAUCCCAUGGAAAUAUUGAGAGGCAUCUUUUGAUAUUUAAAGUUCCGGCGGUACGGGAUGGGCAUGCGUAACAUUAGCUAGUUGGUAAGGUAACGGCUUACCAAGGCUUUGAUGUUUAGGGGUCCUGAGAGGGUGAUCCCCCACACUGGUACUGAGACACGGACCAGACUCCUACGGGAGGCAGCAGUGAGGAAUAUUGGUCAAUGGAGGCAACUCUGAACCAGCCAUGCCGCGUGCAGGAUGAAGGCCUUAUGGGUUGUAAACUUCUUUUGUACCUGAAGAAACCCUUCUACGUGUAGGAGGUUGCCGGUAAGGUACGAAUAAGCAUCGGCUAACUCCGUG
rnacentral:rRNA from 1 species